GAUAAACGCUAGCGGCAGGCUUAACACAUGCAAGUCGAGGGGCAGCAUAGAUUGUAGCAAUACAAUUGGUGGCGACCGGCGCACGGGUGCGUAACGCGUAUGCAACCUACCCGUCACAGGGGGAUAAUCCGGAGAAAUCUGGUCUAAUACCCCAUAACAUAUGGAUCGGCAUCGGUUCAUGUUGAAAUUUUCGGAGGUGACGGAUGGGCAUGCGUAGCAUUAGCUUGUUGGUGAGGUAACGGCUCACCAAGGCGACGAUGCUUAGGGGGACUGAGAGGUUUUCCCCCCACACUGGUACUGAGACACGGACCAGACGCCUACGGGAGGCAGCAGUGAGGAAUAUUGGUCAAUGGGCGCAAGCCUGAACCAGCCAUGCCGCGUGCAGGAUGACGGCUCUAUGAGUUGUAAGCUGCUUUUGUACGAGGGUAAAGUGGGUUACGUGUAACCUUUUGAAAGUAUCGUACGAAUAAGGAUCGGCUAACUCUGUGCCAGCCGCCGCAGUAA
rnacentral:rRNA from 1 species